rnacentral:tRNA from 1 species
GGGGGUGUAGCUCAGCUGGGAGAGCAUCGGCUUUGCAAGCCGAGGGUCGGGUUCGAGCCUCCACCUCCACCA